rnacentral:rRNA from 1 species
CCUACGGGCGGCAGCAGUCGAGAAUCAUUCACAAUGGGGGAAACCCUGAUGGUGCGACGCCGCGUAGGGGAAUGAAGGUCUUCGGAUUGUAAACCCCUGUCAUGUGGGAGCAAAUUAAAAAGAUCGUACCACACGAGGAAGAGACGGCUAACUCUGUGCCAGCAGCCGCGGUAAUACAGAGGUCUCAAGCGUUGUUCGGAAUCACUGGGCGUAAAGCGUGCGUAGGCUGUUUCGUAAGUCGUGUGUGAAAGGCGCGGGCUCAACCCGCGGACGGCACAUGAUACUGCGAGACUAGAGUAAUGGAGGGGGAACCGGAAUUCUCGGUGUAGCAGUGAAAUGCGUAGAUAUCGAGAGGAACACUCGUGGCGAAGGCGGGUUCCUGGACAUUAACUGACGCUGAGGCACGAAGGCCAGGGGAGCGAAAGGGAUUAGAUACCCUAGUAGUC